rnacentral:snRNA from 1 species
GUUCUCACUUCAGCAGCAAAGACUGAAACUGGAAGAAUACAGAGAAAAUUAACAUGGACCUGAGCAGGGAUGAAACACAAAUUUGUUUUUUU